AAACCCAGAACGUCACUCUGUUGAAGAAGAUCCCUGCCAAGACGGUCACGGCAGGUGACGACCAGUCGCUCUCCUCGCGACGGCGCAGUUUUGACUGCAUGAACUCGGACAGCGAGCCGGCCAAAUCCGUAUCCUUCUCGAAGAGGGACGAAGUGCUCGAAAUCGAAUCCCAUCCCAUGCGCUUGCAGGAUCGGGAACUCCCGUUUUGGGCACGCAUAGGCGGCGGUGGCGCUAACUCCACAGCCGGGAAACGUUAAUCGCCCUUCCCAAACCAACAGCUAACGGAAGCGUUGAUCUCCGGGUUGUUCCCGAUCUGAGGAAAAGACGGUCCGGCUACAGUGCGCCCACUUCGCGAGCAAAGUCCCAACCUGAGCCCUUAUAGUUCGUUGACAAGACCCUCGGCCGAUGUUCCUGAAGACUUCCGGUCACCGAUCUACGUUGGGAGGUCGAUCAAAAGAGCGACGGUGACAGCUUGAACGGAAACCGGAAGCAAGAAGCACGAGGUAUCAUCGGAACUCCUCUGGCUGUCCGUGACCGGAAGCACGAAAAUAUUCAAACCGAAAAGUACAUCGAGAAGCUCUUUGUCCAGCUCCAGGAGAUUUAACCAGGCAGACUUAUACAGCUUUAACCUCCAUAGCCCCAAUCCGUGACUCAGAUGCAGUCCGCAAGUAGGAUACUGUAGGACAAGAUUACCCAAGAUUUGGUGGGGAAAUGCUGGAUCUCAUUACGGCGUCCAAACUGCUGCAGGACAGAACACCAAGGAUGAAAGGAUCAUCGAGGACAAAAGGAAUUUUAGAGCCAAAUUGCACCUUGGUUGACCGAGUUGCUGAACCAAGACAUUGGCUAGAUGAUUGGCAACCUCUGAGCCGGUGAUUACAGUUUCCCAGUAGGGUUAGGCUCCAAGUGAGGACAAGACAGAGCUUGGUGACGAUGGUAGCGCCGAAUUACCGUGACAUCCGCCAAGACCGGUAGAGCCGGAUAGCUAUUGCGACAAGCUGAGGAAAGAUAAUUCGGUCAACUGGACUAGGACCAGGCCUAGGUUUUGCCGGCCGAAUCCAUAAUGAGACACGCCAGAUCGGGAGGAGUCGGUCCAGCUGCAUAACUGGGUCACUGGUUUUCACCAACGUCGAUAGCGAGGCCAUAAAGCAUAACAGCAAGUUGGUGGCUGAAGGUGUCAAGGCGGUGCCGUGUGUCUGCUGCCGACGAGCGUUUGCAAGGAACAGCAGGUUGAAUGGCCUUCCGUUACGUGGCAGCCGGAAACACAUCGUAAAAGGUGUCGUCGUGAUUGUCGUUUCAACCAGUUUGGCUAUUUGUGCUUAAGUUGAAGAGGUUGGAAGCUAGCCAAACCGUGGAACUAACAAGAUUGUGCUGACAACGGGAUACCGAGGUCUACGUUACGCCGAUGGACGUACCGUGAAGUCAUGGUUAUAAUCGAUCGAACGAUGUGACAACGUUGAGCGGAGCGAAGAAGUUGCCAUAGGAGGCCAACAAGCCGGAACCAGUUUGAGAACUUGGCACUGCCUCGAAGUGUUCUGACUGUGGCUUUCCGAUAUUGAUUGGACACAGGCAUUGUUUGUAAUUUAUAUUGUGUAAAAUUGUCGAAUAUGUUUUUAUCAUCAAGUCAUUGUAAUCAUUUUGUUAAUAAACUUAAAGAAACAUUGUUUAACUCAUAGUUUCAUUGAAA